rnacentral:rRNA from 1 species
GGCCUAACACAUGCAAGUCGAGCGGCAGCACAAGGGAGUUUACUCAUGAGGUGGCGAGCGGCGGACGGGUGAGUAAUGCCUAGGGAUCUGCCCAGUCGAGGGGGAUAACAGUUGGAAACGACUGCUAAUACCGCAUACGCCCUACGGGGGAAAGAGGGGGACCUUCGGGCCUCUCGCGAUUGGAUGAACCUAGGUGGGAUUAGCUAGUUGGUGAGGUAAUGGCUCACCAAGGCGACGAUCCCUAGCUGUUCUGAGAGGAUGAUCAGCCACACUGGGACUGAGACACGGCCCAGACUCCUACGGGAGGCAGCAGUGGGGAAUAUUGCACAAUGGGGGAAACCCUGAUGCAGCCAUGCCGCGUGUGUGAAGAAGGCCUUCGGGUUGUAAAGCACUUUCAGUAGGGAGGAAAGGGUGAGUCUUAAUACGGCUCAUCUGUGACGUUACCUACAGAAGAAGGACCGGCUAACUCCGUGCCAGCAGCCGCGGUAAUACGGAGGGUCCGAGCGUUAAUCGGAAUUACUGGGCGUAAAGCGUGCGCAGGCGGUUUGUUAAGCGAGAUGUGAAAGCCCUGGGCUCAACCUAGGAAUAGCAUUUCGAACUGGCGAACUAGAGUCUUGUAGAGGGGGGUA